rnacentral:rRNA from 1 species
AAGAAGCNCCGGCUAACUACGUGCCAGCAGCCGCGGUAAUACGUAGGGUGCGAGCGUUNUCCGGAAUUACUGGGCGUAAAGAGCUCGUAGGUGGUUUGUUGCGUCGCCUGUGAAAUUCCGGGGCUUAACUUCGGGGUGGCAGGCGAUACGGGCAUAACUAGAGUGCUGUAGGGGAGACUGGAAUUCCUGGUGUAGCGGUGGAAUGCGCAGAUAUCAGGAGGAACACCGAUGGCGAAGGCAGGUCUCUGGGCAGUAACUGACGCUGAGGAGCGAAAGCAUGGGGAGCGAACAGGAUUAGAUACCCUGGUAGUCCAUGCUGUAAACGGUGGGCGUUAGGUGUGGGGACCGGUCUGGUUUCUGUGCCGUAGCUAACGCAUUAAGCGCCCCGCCUGGGUAGUACGGCCGCAAGGCUAAAACUCAAAGGAAUUGACGGGGGCCCGCACAAGCGGCGGAGCAUGUGGAUUAAUUCGAUGCAACGCGAAGAAUCUUACCUGGGUUUGACAUGCACCAGACGGUUGUAGAGAUACGUACCUCCCUUUGUGGUUGGUGUGCAGGUGGUGCAUGGUUGUCGUCAGCUCGUGUCGUGAGAUGUUGGGUUAAGUCCCGCAACGAGCGCAACCCUUGUCUUAUGUUGCCAGCACUUUGGGUGGGGACUCAUGAGAGACUGCCGGGGUUAACUCGGAGGAAGGUGGGGAUGACGUCAAAUCAUCAUGCCCUUUAUGCCCAGGGCUUCACACAUGCUACAAUGGUUAGUACAACGCGCUGCGAGCCUGUGAGGGUGAGCGAAUCGCUGAAAGCUAAUCUCAGUUCGGAUUGGGGUCUGCAACUCGACACCGUGAAGCUGGAGUCGCUAGUAAUCGCAGAUCAGCAGUGCUGCGGUGAAUACGUUCUCGGGCCUUGUACACACCGCCCGUCACGUCAUGAAAGCCGGCGACACCCGAAGCCCGUGGCCCUGUGGG